UAUUGUUUCCAGCUGAAGAAAACGAAAGCCUAUACAAUAGGUGAUCGCAACAUACCAUACCAACCUUGCACAGAGGGGCCCCUGGCCCAGUCUUGGAGGAUCCAGGGAGACUUCUGGAGGAGGUUGCUUCAAAGGAAAUGAGAUAUACGAGUGCGGAUCCAGUUCUAAUCUAAACUCCGUGGCCAAGAAGGGCCACUCUGUGAAAGCCACCAGAACAGAAGCAAGAGACAGAACGGGUACAAAGUGUCCCAGGCAACAAAUGAAUGAGUCCGUUCUGCCACGUCUCAUUCUCGAAGAAUGGCACUUCCUUUGUGAAUUGAAAAGAAAUGUAAAGUGGGGGAAAUGGCGAAAAAAGAAAAUUAAUAAGAAAUAAAAGAGUUCUGCCUCUCCUUUCUCUCUUCUCCUUCCUGACCUGUGACAGCGCACGGCCAUG
rnacentral:lncRNA from 1 species